rnacentral:rRNA from 1 species
UCAGUAACACGUCAGUCACAGUGCCCUACGUGGGUACGUGGAUUACCUCGUGUGUAAACUGAGGAUCAAGCCUACGUAUACGGUCAUAAUGUCUGGAAUCGAUUUAUGGCUAAAUUCUAUAUGGCCCCUGGAUUGGACUGCGGCCGAUCAGGCUGUUGGUGAGGUAAUGGCCCACCAAACCUAAAACCGGUACGGGCUCUGAGAGGAGAAGCCCGGAGAUGGGCACUGAGUACAAGGGCCCAGGCCCUAUGGGGCUGCAGCAGGCGCGAAAACUCUGCAAUAGGCGAAAGCUUGACAGGGUUAUUCUGAGUGAUUUCCGCUAAGGAAAUCUUUUGGCACCUCUAAAAAUGGUGCAGAAUAAG